UCACUUCACAUUCAGGCGGGAGCCCCUAUAUGGGCUCCUGCCGGCCUCGGUCGGCUAUGAGGAUAAAUUGCCCCGUGCAAUAGACGCAGCGGACCCGGGGGCGGUACCCGGCGGCUCCACCAUCACCCGUUUCCUUACGGGAACAACCCUGUUGUCGCAGGGGUGAUGACGGGGCCGAACUAGGAUCGACGUGUGUUGAAAAGCGGUGUUUUCUUCCGGGCUGAGUAACCCGUUCAAGGCUCAAAACUCAU
rnacentral:tmRNA from 1 species